rnacentral:lncRNA from 1 species
ACCUCUUCAAUCCUGUCUUUUAGCAGUUGCUCUGCUCCUGAUAAGUUUUUAAAGCGGUACUCUAAAGAGGUUUGGAAACCAUCCUCCUCGCUCAUCCAUCCAAAUCGCUCCAAUCAGCCUCCCUCGCGGACCUGCCCCCCUCUCCCAGGGCCUCCUUCCCGGUCCGGGAGUCCCUCUUCCCGCCUCAAACUUCCCGCAGACCCGCCCCGCGCCCUCCCAGGCUCGCUGGAGCCGCCGCCCCCUCCCCUCCCCCUCCCCGCCGCUCCCCACGUGCUGGGAGCCCGGGUCGCCGCAGGACCGACGCACGGGAUAAGUGCUCGCCAUUCGAGGGUCUCCUCUCGCUGCCCGGUCGGCACCAAGCUCAAGAGGCCCUGGCAGGGCCGCCAGGCCAGCGCGAGGAUGCGCUCUGCGGCCGCUGGCCUGUGCUCGCCGCUCACACGCCCCCUGCGCGCCGGGCCCGUACACCGCCACCGGCCCUCACAGAGCCGUCCGGCCUUCGCCCGGACGCUGGGCCGCCGCCCGGGCACCGCGCCGCGCCCGCCCUCCACCCGGCCACCUCCUGUCCUCCCCGCCGCCCCCUUUCUUACCGGCAGGCUUGGCUGGGCGGAGGAAGCCGACUCGGGUCGACGGCCUCCCCCGCGCCCAGGAUCUCCGCCGCCGAGUCCUAGGGCUCCGGGCGUCUUGGGGAGAAAGCACGAACGCAGUCCCCCACUACCACAAAUUGUGCAGUUGAGUUUCCCACAUUUGGGGAAAUGGCAGGGGUCAGCACAUCCGGAGUGCAAUGGAUAAGCCUCGCCCUGGGAAAACCACCUUCAUGAUCAUGAUAUCUCCCCUGCCAGGUAAGUAUGAGUGGUUUUAUUUAUUUAUUUUUAAAAUAAUUUUUACUUUUAUUUUAGAUGCAGGGAGUAAAUAUGCAGGUUUGGUGACUGAAAACAGAGAUAAUUGAAGCUAGGAACAUCUACUCUUGAAGGGCUUUUGAAUAGUCUUCCAAAUGCUAACUAUCCUUAGUAUAAGUAUUCUGCUUAUGGUUUGUAGAUUAAAGCCCAGGCAUAUGUACAUAUUGCAUUACCUAUGACGACCUAUUUUAUGUAAAAUAAACAUUUCAUCCCAAUAUGUCAAUAUGCUUUCCUAAAAACACCUUACAUAGCCAAAAUGACAUGAUCUCAUCCAACAAAAUUAUUAAUUAGUAUCACGUAAUACUCCAUAUUUAAAUAUCUCCUAUUUUCCCUUUUCUGGUGGUUUAAUCUGAAUCAAGAUCCAGUUUGAAUUAGUUUUGUUAAAUCUCGUGAGUCUCUUCUUUUCUUUGAAAGUAUCUUUUAUGAUGACACCCGGACUUGCUUAAGUCCUCCUGGUUGUCCUUUAGAAGGUUUUAUGCCAUUUGAUUCCUUUCUUGUAGGGUGUUUUGUUUGUUUCUUUAUCGCCAGUAAUCUCGUAAUGUGGCAGUCAAAUCUAAAGGUUAUUAAAUUCAAGUUACACAAAGUUAAAAUCAUAGGUGAUGUUGUACACUUCACAUUUCAUCACACUGAUGGUCAUAAAUAUCUGAUUGUCUCACCAGUGAUGAUAUUAAAUUUGGCCACAGGAUCAAGGGAAUAAAAGUCUGAUUCUAUUAGACUUUUAUAAAGUUUUUUACAUAGUGUAAAAUUAUGUUUCUCAGAUUGUGUUCACAUUUUUUUAGCUAGAACUGUGUGAAUUUUCAGGUCACCAACAGCCAUUUAUGUCUUUCUUUUUUUUUUUCCACACCAAUUGAUAAGAGUUGGC